UAGUUUUUCCCUGAGUCAAACUUCUCUAUCUUUGACCAACUUUAUUAUAGAAAAAUAUAUUGAAAUCUACAAUACCAAAAAAAAACUAGCAAGACAUUUCAUGGCGGAUUUAACAAAAUUGAUUUGAUGAUGUAGAUGUUAGUGCAAUUUUCUAUAAACUUUGUUGAAGAUAGAGAAGUUUGACUAAGGACAAAGCUAAA
rnacentral:pre_miRNA from 1 species